rnacentral:rRNA from 2 species
UACGUAGGGGGCGAGCGUUAUCCGGAAUUAUUGGGCGUAAAGAGUGCGUAGGUGGUUAUCUAAGCGUGGGGUGAAAGGCAGUGGCUUAACCAUUGUAAGCCUUGCGAACUGGAUAGCUUGAGUGCAGGAGGGGAAAGUGGAAUUCCUAGUGUAGCGGUGAAAUGCGUAGAUAUUAGGAGGAACACCGGUGGCGAAGGCGGCUUUCUGGACUGUAACUGACACUGAGGCACGAAAGCGUGGGUAGCAAACAGG